rnacentral:misc_RNA from 1 species
AUCACCAUCUCGUACCACCUCGCAGCCAGUAUCACCAUCUCGUGCAAUAACUGAAGCUCGUGCUCCCUCUCUAACCCGAUCACCAUCUCGUACAGCUCCACAGCCAAGAGCUGCAUCUGUGCCACCAUCUCCAACUCGAACCUCUUCUCAGUCCCAACCAACUGUACAAACAGUUCCACAACCAUUUCUUUUGGACUCUCGACUUGCAAGCCAAACAUCCUCACAACCAUCCUCUCAAUCUACAACGGCUACUCAAAUUCAACAGAUAGUUUCUCAAGAGACCUCGCAGCCUCCAGUCAUCUCUGCUAAACCUCCACCAUCUGCCUCUCAACAACAAGAACCAAAGCCUACAGUGUCUUUGCCACUGUCACAAGCAACUCAACGGAAAAUAGAAUCUAAGCCUCUUCCAGAACCGAUGGAGAAUGCAAGGGAAACUGAAAAAGGCAAAGAAGUUGUGGAAAAGCUUAAAAGAGAGGGAAAGACAAAUGGUCCAGCUAAAGAGGAAACAUUGAAGAGCGCAAUCUCGGAACUUCUUACUGCAUCUGAGACAGGAGCACAAGCUAAAGAGCUACUGAGUGCAGCAUUUCAUCCUGAAAAGAAGCAACAAGAGAAUGAAGAUAAGAAGAUAACAAGCAUCAGCCCCAGUGGUGAACAUAUCAAAACUGUAAGCUCAACUCAAACAAAGGCCAGGAAUAAAUUUACUGAAUCUCAUCAAAAGCCUAGCAUGGCCAGUGGAGAACAAGUUUCAUUUCACAAAGAAAUUAGGGAUGACAUUUUCAAGUUCGUUCAUAAGCUGGGAGUAGGACAGCUAAGGUAUCCCAUGGAUGAUAAGCCAGUUAGCAUUGUGACAAUAGCUGGUGAAAACAGAGGAGCAUCUAUGCAUGUGGGUUCAGAACCAGCAAGGAAGGAUGGUUCUUUACACAUUCACCGGGGUUAUAAACUCAACCCAGAUGAAGGUGCUGGAGCUACAACCGAUGGAGAAGGAAGCACGUAUGAAAGGUCAACAAAUCCAACAAGAGAAGAUCGAGCAAGAAUGGCAUUUGUCAACAGUAAUACACAGGGUAUCAAUGACUCCAUGUUAUUUGAAAGUUCAGUGAAUGAGAGAAACCCUGGUAUUCAGCUGGUUCUCUCCCAUAACCUAGCAGAAUCCAUCAAUCCAAGUGCUAAACCAGAGCCUAUGGAGACACAUAAGGCUGAAUUCAAUGUCACCCCUGCUCAGAAGCUUACUUAUGAGCCCACAAUACGACGAAGAUGCUUAAGAGGGCUUUUCUUGGAACCCAGUGACUCAGAUCCCGAUAAUCCUGAAAAGCCUCGAAGACAUGGUUGCCGCUAUAGCUGUGCAGAGAAGGGCAAAGAUAAAGACAUAGGAGUUCUUUGAGCUAGCAAAUCACAAUUUCACAGCAUAUACCCACCUGCAGAAACGCAGUUAUUGUGUUCAUGGUAAUAACAAUUAACUACAAAAUUUAUAAUAAGGAUGCUAUAUCCAUCCACAAAUCAUGCUUUUAUAUCUUCUCUUUUUCUUAUUUCUUUUGUUUGUUUUGGUUGCAAUCAUGCUUUUUAUGAAUAAUGCUUCAGCAUGUUAUGAUAGUGAAUAUUUUGUGCACUGUACUUCACAGCUUGAUUUCAAGGUUUAGUGCACAGAUUACUAAGAUACAUCUGCGACAACAGUAAAAUUCUGUCAUGAAGUAGAUCUCAGGUCUGGAACUACAUUUUAUUAAAAUAAAUAUAAGUUGCAAACUCAUGUAGAUGUGACGUGCAUGCACUAGCAGAGAUGAUGACAGAAGGCAACGCUUUAAGUGCUUCCUUUAAAGAAAAUAUAUACAACAAAAUUUCAAGGGAAGACUAAUGGGAAUUUGGCCCGAGAUGGUCGUGAAUUUGUAGUCAUUCACAAGCUGGUUUAGUGUCAAAGCUACUCAAGCAGAUAGCAAAGGCUUGGAAUGCAGACAGUGGGUAGCGAUAGUCCAUGGUGAAGAUGUCUUUCCCAAUCUUUCCAAAUUGUAGAAUAACUUUUUCCUGUUCUUCCGCUGGCACAUUUUGGCCAAGCUCCACAGCUGCCACCAGCUGGAAAUUCUUAACAGAGGCCACAGUGACGCGUCCUUUGAAAUUUAGACACCAGCACUGCAGCUGCUCAUGCCAUCUUGGUGCUUUAUUUUUCAAAACCAAGGGAUCUUUUCUGCCGCAAAUUUGUUCAUUUGACUCUGCAAGGCUAGUCUGAACUCAAUAAGUGAAAUCCUUUGAUUUUGGAGGAAUUUGCUUUAUCCAUUAGAAUUUAUGAAUUCUGUUUGAGUAGGGCAGCGCCCCCCCGCCCCUACUUCAAUUGAAGAGAUGCGAAUUGAGUGCACGGUGCACUGCAUUCUCCUUGGGACUCUGGUUCGCAGAACAUUGAAGUCAUAAGAAAUGGUGGCCACAUUGUAGUUUCUAGCAGGAAACAACAAAGAAACCUAGACUGAAUGGAUUUUUCUGUGUGGCUUGCAGUUGGAUUGCAUUGUUGGAUAUGGAGACAUGUUCAGAGUACAGAGCUGAACAGGAAGAUUAGAGUGCUUGAAAUUUAGGAGCUCUUGUGAAGGUGAAGAAAUGAAUUUAACCUGCUAAAUCGCAUUUUUGAAGGUGAAGACACAAGAAUAUCUUGUCUGGUAACUCUUUGCUUUUUGUGAUUGUGUUUCUUGAGUUCUUUUCUUGAAAGCCUUAAAGGAUGGUGAUUCGAUAGCACAUCUCUCUUGAUUGUUAGUUUCUGGGUUGAGCAUCAGUAAUCUGGUCUACUUGACUGCAAAUGAAUCACGCGGAUGGAGUCGUAUAUGUGGCUAUAAGCUGAGAUUCAGGCAAAGUAUAUACUUGGAAUGCCUCGAGGAUCGAGGCAAUAGCUAUCCUUCCCCAGCACAUAGAACAUCAUACAGUCCUUCCCUACAUUAUCAGAACGAGAUAGAAACUAGAGAUGCUAGACCCAUCAGACAAGGAAAGUCUGUCUAAAGAAUCCCAAUUUUCUCCCAAGGCUUGCUUUUUAGAGAGGCAAACAGGUAAAAGUGGGGAUUGUGAAUUUGAAGAAAGCAAUGAUAAAGUCCCAAAAGCUUUCCAAGGUAUCAAAUGGGAACUUAUUAAUACCGUAUGAUCUUCCAAUAAGAAUUAAGCAACAACUCAACCACCCACAUCCCCUUUCUUUGUUAAACUUUAGUUAUCUUUUCCCUCGUAAUCUAUGGCAGACCAGAGGCCAUUUGGUCGCUUUCGACUGCCUUGGCUAUCAGCACCCACUACUCGUCCUGCUGCUGAACCCCAACCCCCUCCCCCUCGUCCUUCAGUUGAAAUAAUUCAAGCCCCUGCCCAGCCGACAACCACCAUCCCUGCUCAGCGUCCUCCGUUUCGACCUGCAGGGAUAGCCCCAGU